GCCUGGCUGGUUCAGUGCGUGGAGCACGUGACUCUUGAUCUCCAGAUUGUGAGUUCAAGUCCCACGUUGGGUG
rnacentral:tRNA from 1 species